rnacentral:rRNA from 1 species
GACGAACGCUGGCGGCGUGCCUAAUACAUGCAAGUCGAACGCAGUGGGGACGGGUGAGUAACACGUGGGUAACCUCCCAUCAGAGGGGAUAACACUUGGAAACAGGUGCUAACCCGCUACUGAUGGAUGGACCCGCGGUGCAUUGGCUAGUUGGUGAGGUAACGGCUCACCAAGGCCACGAUGCAUAGAGGACCUGAGAGGGUGAGCGGCCACAAUGGGACUGAGACACGGCCCAGACUCCUACGGGAGGCAGCAGUAGGGAAUCUUCGGCAAUGGACGAAAGUCUGACCGAGCAACGCCGUGUGAGUGAAGAAGGUUUUCGGAUCGUAAAACUCUGUUGGUAGGGAAGCGGUAGCUAACCAGAAAGCCACGGCUAACUACGUGCCAGCAGCCGCGGUAAUUC